UGGGGAAUAUUGGACAAUGGGGGAAACCCUGAUCCAGCGACGCCGCGUGGGUGAAGAAGGCCUGCGGGUUGUAAAGCCCUUUCGAUGGGGACGAAAGCUUCUGACCUAACACGUCGGGAGUCUGACUUAACCCAUAUAAGAAGCACCGGCUAACUCUGUGCCAGCAGCCGCGGUAAUACGUAGGGGGCUAGCGUUGUCCGGAAUCAUUGGGCGUAAAGCGCGCGUAGGCGGCCCGGUAAGUCCGCUGUAAAAGUCAAAGGCUCAACCUUUGAAUGUCAGUGGAUACUGCCGGGCUAGAGUCCGGAAGAGGCGAGUGGAAUUCCUGGUGUAGCGGUGGAAUGCGCAGAUAUCAGGAGGAACACCAACGGCGAAGGCAGCUCGCUGGGACGGUACUGACGCUGAGGCGCGAAAGCGUGGGGAGCGGAACAGGAUUAGAUACCCUGGUAGUCCACGCCGUAAACGAUGGGCACUAGGUGUGGGAGGUGUCGACUCCUCCCGUGCCGGCGCUAACG
rnacentral:rRNA from 1 species